GAGGUAAACCACCAGGAUGCAUAGCCAUCUCUCCCCCGCGGCCCGCCGCAUCGUGCGACGAGAGCAUCACUGCAGCUAGGCGACACCACCGAUGGUCGUCAUCUACCAUCCUCAACUGUCCCGCACUGGGUUCUACUCUGCCUCGGCGCGUCUUCCAUUCCAUAGUCCCAACGGCAUUCUCCACUACUACGGCAUCCUCCUCCACUAUUACGCCUGGACCAUCUUCGAUGGGCGCAACGGUAUACUCCUCCACUUCCUCACCGUCCAUCCAGAGGUCACCAGGUGGCCAUCGCCUCCGCUGCCACUGCGGCCGCCACACGUGUGGCAACGUGCCACGCGCCAACGCCGAUGCUCACCGCAUGCCACGACGAGGUCAUCUGGUCAGCGACGAAACCCCCCUAUACACCAGUCACGCGGGUAAGGUGUUCGUCGAUAUGAAUAAGUCAGUAUCACUGCCUUGCGUAUGUAACUACUUGAAUGGACUGGAGCAGGGGUAAGAAAUGUUGGCAACGUAUAGAGCACCGUGUCAGCUCCUGAAUACAUUUGUUUUGUUAGAAAUCAUAACAAAAUUUGAUAUGGCAUGAGUUAAUGCUUCCUUUGUUUUACCAUGUCUAACCAUGUUGAUGUCUUCAUCCACGAUGAAUAAUAUACUAGAAAGGAAGCGGAGUUUUGUUCUUAGUUAGCUACUAUAUGCAGGUUGUAUGAAGAAUUGAAGAUUAUCAUUUUGUCGGUCAAACUGUCUGAAGUUCUCUUCAAAAGAAGUUGAAAGCAUAUUCUGCAAUCACUAAGUUGUGUCCGAUACUGCUUUCUUCUCUUGCUACCAGUUACUGAAGAUGGAUCAGUUAAUUGUUCAACAAUAGGGCUAGGAUAUUUCUUCUAAGCGAUUAUAGUCAUGAUGGUUCAAUCUCAACUUCACAUUUCUAUGUGGUGGUACACCGGUGGAUCUAGGAUUGAUUGAUGGUAAGAGGAGACUAUUUUUCUCUCCUUCAGCACCGCUAUUAUUAUUAUUUUUUUUGGGUCUAUUUUUCCCACCACUUUCGUAUACAUCUCCAUUGUGUGCAAGGACAUAUGAGGCUGGAGCACCCCCAACCCCCAUGUUACAGCUGUCCUGUUAAUAAAACCAUGCGUGCUGUUGUUGUCGUAUGUGCCGAAUUUCCCCACAUGCAUGAACUUUUGGUUUUGUAGCUAAAUCCGGAAGAAGUUUGUACAGCGGUUGUUUAAAAAGUUAACCAGUAACACUAUUUAUUCAUAUUUUUUUCUUCAUAUUUGUAUCUAUUGUUUACCAGAAAUUUCAUUCAAUCUCUCCUCUCCAUUUUAUUUCACAUUUGAAGAUUAUUAUUUUGUUAGUCAAACUGUCUGAACUUCUCUUCAAAGCAUAUUCUGCAAUUACUCAGUUGUGUCCAGUAACCCGAUACUACUUUCUUCUCUUGCAUAUUCUGCAAUUAUUAUUUCUCUCUAAGCGAUUAUCAUCCUGAUAGUUUCUAAAAAUGCCGUUGGUAAUUAUCACUGUCCCAACACAUUUCUGUAUGGUGAAAUCAAGGGCUCGAUCUAGGAUUGAUGGUAAGAGGAGUCUAUUUUUUCACUCCUUCAGCACCCCUACUCUUUUUUGUCUAUUUUUUCUCAGACCCCUUCAUAUAUUUCUCAAUGUUGUGCAACCAUGGUGUGCAAGGACAUAGGAGGCUAGAGCACCUCUAACCCCAUGCUGGCCUGCUUCUAAAGCUUACAAUGUCGUGUACUUCAUCUAUUUGUUCUAAGUAUAAGUUAUUUUAACUUUUUUUGAGUCACCAUCU